rnacentral:rRNA from 1 species
GUUAUCAAGAUACUGAAGAAGGUAUUCCACAGGGUGGUGUAAUAUCUCCUAUUAUAGCUAAUUUAUGCCUUGAUGGUUUAGAUAAAACUAUAAAAAGGGCGUCUAAUAAUAAAGCAACUCUUGUGAGAUAUGCGGAUGAUUUCAUUAUAGUGUCCCAGAACUAUGAUAUUUUAGAUAAGUUAAUUCUAGAUGUUAACAAAUUUCUAAAAAUAAGAGGUUUAGAAUUAAAUAUGGAAAAAAGUAAAAUCACUAAAAUUGAAAAUGGAUUUGAUUUUGUAGGUUUCCACUUUAGGGAAUUCUCGGAUUCUACUCGAGAAAUCGGGGAAAAGAAAGGGAUUUUUCUAUACAAACCUACAAAAGAAAGCUUACAAAAAGUAAAAGCUAAAAUAAAACUUUGUGUCAAAGAACAUUCGCAACUUCCUCUGUGAAUGCUUUUCUCAAAACUAAAUCCAAUAUUAAGGGGCUGAGCAAAUUAUUACUCGUCUAGUACUGCAAAGUUAGCUUAUACCCGAAUAAGUAAAUACGUUUUUGAUUCCAUUCAUCGCAUGAUAAAAAUUAAGCAUCCAAAGCUUAAUGCUAAAGCGCUUAAAUCCAAAUUUUAUCACAAAGUGAAUAAUAGAGAUUGAUUAAUGUCUACUAGCACUGAAUUUAAAAGAUUUAAGAAAAUUAAUUUGUUUCAAAUAUCCGACACUCCUAUUAAAAGAACUACUAUGAUAAAACUUGACGCUAAUUCCUAUUUGGGUGAGUUUGAGGAGUAUUUUAAUAAAAGAUCUUUGAAUAUGUGUUUUAAUCAGCAAACGAAUAAUAUUCGAUUAAAGCUGGCAAAAAGACAAAAAGGUAUGUGCCCUAUAUGUAAAGAAUCUUUAAAUAGUCAAUAUGGAGAUAUAUUGUACGAAUUAGAAAUUCACCAUAUCAUACCUGUGGUGAGUGGAGGUAAAAAUAUAUUAAAAAAUAUGACUCUUCUUCAUAAAACGUGUCAUCGCGACAGAGCUAAAGACGAAUGAGAUAAUUAUACUUAAGGAACUCGGCAAAUUUGCUCCGUACGUUCGCAACAAGGAGUACCUUAAAGGAUUCAAAAAUUAGGGGUAGCGACUGUUUAACAAAAACUCAAAACUUUGCAAAUUCGAAAGAAGACGUAUAAGGUUUGACGCCUGCCCAGUGCUUGAAAGCGAAAAAUACACGUUAACGCUUGUAUCAUAAACUCAAGUAAACGGCGGUCUUAACUAUAAGGAUCCUCAGGUAGCGAAAUUCCUUGGCGGGUAAAUUCCGUCCUGCAUGAAUGGCGUCACGACUACCCCACUGUCUCUAGUAUAAACUCAGCGAAAUUACAUUGUCUGUGAAAAUGCAGACAUCCUACAACAAGACGGAAAGACCCUAUGAUUCUUAACUAUAAUUUUACGUCGCAAUAAUUUUGUGUACAGUACAGUAAAAGUAGGAGUAUACUUAUACAAUUUUGAAAAACUACUCUGUACAUAAGAAAUUGCUUACUGAAGAGAAAAUAUGUAAAAGUGGUAGUUUACUUGGGACGAGGACCUCCUAAACUGUAACGGAGGUGCACAAAAGUAAAUUUUAAUUAGUUUUUUGUAUUAAUAAAAUAUGUAAUGGUAAAAAUUUGCUUGACGGUAAGAGUUACAACUCAAACCGGGACGAAAGUCGGUCAUAAUGAUCCGGCAGUAAUGUAUGGAAAUACUGUCGCUUAUCGGAAAAAAGAAACUCUAGGGAUAACAGAUUUAUCAUGGCUGAGAGUUCUUAUCGACGCCAUGGUUUGAUACCUCGAUGUCGGCUCAUCUUUUCCUGGAGCUGUAACAGGUUCCAAGGGUAUGGUUGUUCGCCAAAUAAUAAGAUACGUGAGCUGGGUUCAGAACGUCGUGAGACAGUUCGGUCCCUAUCUGUUGUGGGUAAGAAAAAACUAGAUUUAUCUUUAGUACGAGAGGAUUAAGAUAUAUUAACCAAUAGUGUAUCGGUUGUAUUGUUUCUUGCAUUGCCGAGUAGCCACGUUAACAUUAUAUAAGUGCUGACAGCUUAAAAGCACAAAAAUAAUCUUUAUUUUUUCAAGAACUUUCUAGAAGAUUACUAGAUAGAUCGGUUUAUUAUUUAAUACUUGUAAAAGUAAGUAAAUAAAUACGAAAAGUUCAUUAUAAUUU